CGGAGGAGGAGGGGGGUGGGGGGUGGCAGGGAGGAAAGGCAUAAUCUGGUUUCAUUUACACCUAUUUACACGGACACCUUGAGCCAAUGGAAAAUAUUUCCAUUUUAAGACAGGAAAAGGGGUGAAAAGCUUCGGUAACCGGAAUUGAACCUCGAUGCUGCUCAGAGUGUGAAGACGGUGGGAUCGCGCUCCUCCGCAGCUGCCCGCAACAUUACUCGGCGACUUCGUACCUGGAAGAAGACCCCUGGGCAAUUACGACAUAUGCUCGGAUUAUGCGUAAUGGUCUAAUUACGCAGACCGAAUUAGGCAUUCAUUAUACGACGCAUCAUCUGCAACAGACAUCUCAAUCAAACACAGAGAACCAGUAUUUCCCUCUGCCCUAAGAACUCCACCCACUUAAACAGACCAGUAAUUUUUUUUAUUUAUUCAUCUAUUUAUUUAAGGACAGCCUUAAAUGCGUGUGUGUGUGUGUUUGGGGGGCGUCGCCUUUUCACCAGCUGGUAAUUUUAUGUCUUGAAUUUUAGUUUUUUUGGUGUUGGCCUAAUGAACAAACAUUUUGUGUUAUUAAAAGCAAACCAGAUCAUGUCAGACAAUACAAAUAAAGCAAUCUAAAAGCAGGUUUAUGUAUUGGGAGA
rnacentral:lncRNA from 1 species